rnacentral:rRNA from 1 species
GCUGUUGCUGGCCCUCCGGGGUGUCGUGCACGCUUGUCUCAUCUUUGUCAUUUCUUCCAACUGUGCACAUUUUGUAGAUCCUGGAAAUGGGAGAGCUCCAUGAACUUGUGUUCGAGUCGGGAAUUGCUGUYGCUUUUUUCUUAGGCCGGCUUUUCCUUGUACCUUUCCCCCAGGUCUAUGUCAUUUUAUCACAAUCUCUCGAGUAUGUUCAGAAUGUCGUUGGAAUAUAAUAUAAUAUAUACAACUUUCAGCAACGGAUCUCUUGGCUCUCGCAUCGAUGAAGAACGCAGCGAAAUGCGAUAAGUAAUGUGAAUUGCAGAAUUCAGUGAAUCAUCGAAUCUUUGAACGCAUCUUGCGCUCCUUGGUAUUCCGAGGAGCAUGCCUGUUUGAGUGUCAUUUAACUUAUCAACCAUGYUUCAUGUCUGGAACGUGGCUUGGAUGUGGGGGCUCUUUUGCAGGCCUAUCUAUGGGUCGGCUCCCCUGAAACGCAUUAGUGGCAUCUGAGCUGCUACUGUAGGUGUGAUAAAUUAUCUAUGCCUUUGGUAUGCUGCAUGAACAGAUCACGCUGCUCAGAACCAAACUUGAGAAAGACUUGACAAACUUGACCUCAAAUCAGGUAGGACUACCCGCUGAACUUAAGCAUAUCAAUAAGCGGAGGAAAAGAAACUAACAAGGAUUCCCCUAGUAACUGCGAGUGAAGCGGGAAAAGCUCAAAUUUGAAAUCUGGCGGUUCUCUGGGCCGUCCGAGUUGUAAUCUAGAGAAGUGCUUACCUGUGCUGGACCGUGUA